GAAAGAAGCCCAGCACUGAAUCCCGCCGUUGUUCAGGCGGCGGGAGAUGUGGUGUUCGGGAGGUUCCGCUUUCUCGUCGCGAUCGCUCCUGUCCAAGUUCGUCUUGAACGGGGCCGUUUUCCCGUAGAGGGUGCCAGGCCCGUAGCGACGAGGAUCGCGGCGAGAGGGACUCUCCUUAGAGUCGGGUUGCUUGAGAGUGCAGCCCUAAGUGGGUGGUAAACUCCAUCUAAGGCU
rnacentral:rRNA from 1 species